rnacentral:rRNA from 1 species
AUUGAACGCUGGCGGCAGGCUUAACACAUGCAAGUCGAACGAGUGGCGGACGGGUGAGUCAUGCUUGGGAAUCUAGCUUAUGGAGGGGGAUAACUACGGGAAACUGUAGCUAAUACCGCAUACCCUAGGAUGAGCCCAGGUGGGAUUAGUUAGGUGGGGGGGUAAAGGCUCACCAAGCCGACGAUCUCUAGCUGGUCUGAGAGGAUGACCAGCCACACUGGGACUGAUACACGGCCCAGACUCCUACGGGAGGAAGCAGUGGGGAAUAUUGCGCAAUGGGGGCAACCUGACGCAGCCAUGCCGCGUGCAUGAAGAAGGCCUUCGGGUUGUAAAGUUCUUUCGGUAGCGAGGCGUUAACCACAGAAGAAGCACCGGCUAACUCCGUGCCAGCAGCCGCGGUAAUAC